rnacentral:lncRNA from 1 species
UUUUUAAACAAAAGGGCUAUUUUGUAGUUAGAAAAAAAUUUGCUUUGAAAGUUGAAGCCCUGGAAAUUUCAUAACAUGACAUGACAUGCCAUUUCCAACAGCAGACAGGUGGCAGGACCAGUCCAAGAACAUUCAGGUCUUAAUUUCUAGUCCAUUAUUCUUUGUACAAACAAUCUGAAUUCAUAUACUAAUCAAUCAAUGCAGGAAAGUUUCUCCCAGCCCAACAUGCUUUUACCAUCUCAUCCCUUGGUGAGUGCUGGCUUGCUGGUGAACCUAUCAUGGUGCUUAUAAAACAAGAGAGCCCAUCCACUUGAACAUAAUAUCCUAAUUAAAAGUAAAAAGGUCAAUCCUCACUUUUGAAUAUUUUUGAAUUUUUUAUUAACAUGUCAGCUUCUAAGAGGAGGAUUUCAGGUUUUCCCAUAGACACAUUCUAUUUCUCUUCGGCUAACUCUCUCACCUCCUUCAAAUCUGUGUUCAAAGAUGAACUUCUCAUUAAGACCUUUCGUGACCACUUCAUUUUACACUAAGAAGGACCACCCACCAUCAGCCCCCUACCCUGCCCUAGACAUUACCAACACCUUUAUCCUGCUCUUCUUUUUGGGUUAUAUCUAUCAACUGAUAACACAUUAUACUUAUUAAGUGCAUGGUUUACUGUAGGUUUUCCUCCUCUGAAUUGAGAGAUCUUUGCCUAAUUUGGUGACCAAUGUGUCCCAAGAGCCAAAAGCAACAGCUAACUCUCAGAAGGUACUCAACAGUUUUCUGUUGGGGGAAAAAAAAAAUCCAUGUAGGCCAUAUUAAGAAUGCCUAUUUAAUGCAUGUAGAUGCAUAGUAGCAUAAUGCUUUUAAUAACAUAAUUCAAAAUACACAGACACAAGACCAUGUAUUUAAUGAACUUACAACAGCACCUGACAUAUGAUAAAUACUCAAUGAAUUUAGUACUAAUCUUCCUUGCUGUUAGCACUCAUGAUUACCACUACAGACUUCUCAACCUUUCCCCAGUUACACCAAACUUUUGUGGGAAAAGAUAAUCUUAACAUAUUAAGAGAAUGGUAGAGUUCUUGAAGCUUGAUAGUGUCACUAGGAGGUUAAGAGGAGGUUAUGGUAACAUAUAUAGAAAAGGGCAAACACUUCUCUUUUAUUAUCUUGCCUUUUACUUCUAAAGUUAUGGAAGGUAGGAUGAAGAUGACCUGGCAAAGCCACUUGUUUCUAAGAGAAAGGAAUAAAGCAGUAUUUGGUCUACAGAUGUUUCAUGUGGCAUAUUCCUCAGAACAUAACUUUUGCAACGUAAAACAAUAGUGUUAGUUAAAAAGGAUUCUGUAAUCAAACCCAUGGAGACAAUGCAUGAUAUAAAUAGGAUUAAACAUUUUAUUUAAUGCAGAACGACGUACAGAGCUCCUCUA